GACGAACGCUGGCGGCGUGCCUAAUACAUGCAAGUAGAACGCUGAAGGAGGAGCUUGCUUCUCUGGAUGAGUUGCGAACGGGUGAGUAACGCGUAGGUAACCUGCCUGGUAGCGGGGGAUAACUAUUGGAAACGAUAGCUAAUACCGCAUAAUAGCAGUUAUUGCAUGAUAACUGUUUGAAAGGUGCAAUUGCACCACUACCAGAUGGACCUGCGUUGUAUUAGCUAGUUGGUGGGGUAACGGCUCACCAAGGCGACGAUACAUAGCCGACCUGAGAGGGUGAUCGGCCACACUGGGACUGAGACACGGCCCAGACUCCUACGGGAGGCAGCAGUAGGGAAUCUUCGGCAAUGGACGGAAGUCUGACCGAGCAACGCCGCGUGAGUGAAGAAGGUUUUCGGAUCGUAAAGCUCUGUUGUAAGAGAAGAACGAGUGUGAGAGUGGAAAGUUCACACUGUGACGGUAUCUUACCAGAAAGGGACGGCUAACUACGUG
rnacentral:rRNA from 1 species